UACGGGGGGUGCGAGCGUUGUCCGGAAUCACUGGGCGUAAAGGGCGCGUAGGUGGUUUGAUAAGGGUGUGGUGAAAGCCCGGGGCUCAACCCCGGGUCUGCCGUGCCGACUGUCAAACUCGAGGGCUGUAGAGGCAGACGGAAUUCCGGGUGUAGCGGUGGAAUGCGUAGAGAUCCGGAAGAAGACCGGUGGCGAAGGCGGUCUGCUGGGCAGUUUCUGACACUGAUGCGCGACAGCGUGGGGAGCAAACAGG
rnacentral:rRNA from 1 species